UGUUUUAGUCUUUGGGUGUUUCAUUAGUUCUUCUUCUGACAUUGGCAGCAACUAGUUCAUGUUUUAUUGUAAUUCUGCUUCAUUUCAUUCUACAGUUACAAGACUUCACUUGAGCUCCUUAGUGCACACAGCUCCACUGAACUUCAAUCUGAACAUGAUGACAGUUGGCAUGUUACUGAUUGUCCUCUUUCUUUCAGGUACUUUGGCUGAUUGUCCUGAUGAAGCAGCAGUCUUCAUAAAUGCAUCAAAGAAGCUGGAAGCACUGAGUGGAUCUUGUUUGCAAAUCCCAUGUAGCUUCAGACCCAAAGA